rnacentral:rRNA from 1 species
ACGGGAGGCAGCAGUAGGGAAUAUUGCACAAUGGGGGAAACCCUGAUGCAGCAACGCCACGUGUGGGAAGAAGCAUUUCGGUGUGUAAACCACUGUCGUGAAGGAAUAAUGCUGGACCUCGGUCCAGUUGAAUGUACUUUGAAAGGAAGCACCGGCAAACUUCGUGCCAGCAGCCGCGGUAAUACGAGGGGUGCAAGCGUUGUUCGGAAUCACUGGGCGUAAAGGGAGCGCAGGCGGAGAUGCAAGCAGUCUGUACAAUACCGGGGCCCAACCCCGGACCUGCAGACUGGACUGUUUCUCUUGGAUAGCUCAGGGGCUGGCGGAAUUCCUGGUGUAGCGGUGGAAUGCGUAGAGAUCAGGAAGAACACCGAUGGCGAAGGCAGCCUGCUGGGGACUCAUCGACGCUGAGGCUCGAAAGUGCGGGUAGCAAACAGGAUUAGAUACCCUGGUA